UACGGGGGGAGCAAACGUUGUUCGGAAUCACUGGGCGUAAAGGGCUCGUAGGCGGCCAACUAAGUCGGAUGUGAAAUCCCCAGGCUUAACCUGGGAACUGCAUCCGAUACUGGAUGGCUUGAAUUCGGGAGAGGGAUGCAGAAUUCCAGGUGUAGCGGUGAAAUGCGUAGAUAUCUGGAGGAAUACCGGUGGCGAAGGCGGCAUCCUGGACCGACAUUGACGCUGAUGAGCGAAAAGCUAGGGGGAGCAAACGGGG
rnacentral:rRNA from 1 species